AGUGAACGCUGGCGGUAGGCCUAACACAUGCCAGUCGAACGGCAGCACAGUAAGAGCUUGCUCUUACGGGUGGCGAGUGGCGGACGGGUGAGGAAUACAUCGGAAUCUACUUUUUCGUGGGGGAUAACGUAGGGAAACUUACGCUAAUACCGCAUACGACCUACGGGUGAAAGCAGGGGAUCUUCGGACCUUGCGCGAUUGAAUGAGCCGAUGUCGGAUUAGCUAGUUGGCGGGGUAAAGGCCCACCAAGGCGACGAUCCGUGGCUGGUCUGAGAGGAUGAUCAGCCACACUGGAACUGAGACACGGUCCAGACUCCUACGGGAGGCAGCAGUGGGGAAUAUUGGACAAUGGGCGCAAGCCUGAUCCAGCCAUACCGCGUGUGUGAAGAAGGCCUUCGGGUUGUAAAGCCCUUUUGUUGGGAAAGAAAAGCAGCAGGUUAAUACCCCGCUGUUCUGACGGUACCCAAAGAAUAAGCACCGGCUAACUUCGUG
rnacentral:rRNA from 1 species